GGUCCUUUAUUUUCACGUCUAACGGUGUGCGCGUAUAGGUAAGAUACGGCAGUUAGUCAACGAUCCUCGAGGGGAAGAGCAGACUGCAGCGUACACGUAGAGAGCUUAAGUAUCAUAAAGAGCCGAAAAUAAUAGGGAAACAGAAAUAAUAAUAAAGGAAAGAAAAAUAAUAAAUCUUUAGUUGGUAAUUCGAUGAAAAUGUACCUCUAUUUCUCGUACAGAAUUGAAUGGGUUAUUUGAAAUAGGAAACAUGUCCGAAUUUCGUCAUUUUCAGAUUUUUACGUAAAUAUGUUAUUCGUAUACCUAAACUCACCGUUUCGUAAGAAAAUGUGUCAUGUUUCGAAAAUAAAACAUAC